rnacentral:rRNA from 1 species
GUGGGGAAUAUUGGGCAAUGGGGGAAACCCUGACCCAGCAACGCCGCGUGAAGGAAGAAGGUCUUCGGAUCGUAAACUUCUAUCCUUGGUGAAGAUAAUGACGGUAGCCGAGAAGGAAGCCCCGGCUAACUACGUGCCAGCAGCCGCGGUAAUACGUAGGGGGCAAGCGUUGUCCGGAAUGAUUGGGCGUAAAGGGCGCGUAGGCGGCCCGGUAAGUCUGAAGUGAAAGUCCUGCUUUUAAGGUGGGAAUUGCUUUGGAUACUGUCGGGCUUGAGUGCAGGAGAGGUAAGCGGAAUUCCCGGUGUAGCGGUGAAAUGCGUAGAGAUCGGGAGGAACACCAGUGGCGAAGGCGGCUUACUGGACUGUAACUGACGCUGAGGCGCGAAAGUGUGGGGAGCAAACAGGAUUAGAAACCCUUGUAGUCC